rnacentral:rRNA from 1 species
GAUGAACGCUGGCGGCGUGCCUAAUACAUGCAAGUCGAGCGAACAGACGAGGAGCUUGCUCCUCUGACGUUAGCGGCGGACGGGUGAGUAACACGUGGAUAACCUACCUAUAAGACUGGGAUAACUUCGGGAAACCGGAGCUAAUACCGGAUAAUAUAUUGAACCGCAUGGUUCAAUAGUGAAAGACGGUUUUGCUGUCACUUAUAGAUGGAUCCGCGCCGCAUUAGCUAGUUGGUAAGGUAACGGCUUACCAAGGCAACGAUGCGUAGCCGACCUGAGAGGGUGAUUGGCCACACUGGAACUGAGACACGGUCCAGACUCCUACGGGAGGCAGCAGUAGGGAAUCUUCCGCAAAGGGCGAAAGCCUGACGGAGCAACGCCGCGUGAGUGAUGAAGGUCUUCGGAUCGUAAAACUCUGUUAUUAGGGAAGAACAAAUGUGUAAGUAACUAUGCACGUCUUGACGGUACCUAAUCAGAAAGCCACGGCUAACUACGUG